rnacentral:rRNA from 1 species
UACGAAGGGGGCUAGCGUUGCUCGGAAUCACUGGGCGUAAAGGGUGCGUAGGCGGGUCUUUAAGUCAGACGUGAAAUCCCUCAGCUUAACUGGGGAACUGCGUCUGAUACUGGAUGGCUUGGAUCCGGGAGAGGAAUGCGGAAUUCCAGGUGUAGCGGUGAAAUGCGUAGAUAUCUGGAGGAACACCGGUGGCGAAGGCGGCAUUCUGGACCGAUAUUGACGCUGAGGAGCGAAAGCCAGGGGAGCAAACGGG